rnacentral:lncRNA from 1 species
CACAACAAUGCCUUGGAAUGGUGAUUGGUCAGGGUGGGCGUGUGACUCAAGGCAAGGCUCCAAUCACUGUUAACCUUCAUGUUUUUAAUUAACAUGAUGAGAAGGAUAAUUUUCUAUUUGUGCUCCACGGCAGUGAGAAUAAACCCUAGAGCUUCUAAGGGGCCAAACGUGCCCUUUGAGAAUGAAGUCAAGGAGAACUGAGAGACUGAGAAGGUGAUCAGGUAUAGAUGAUGUUGUUUGCAACCCUGAACACGGCACUUCCUGAAGCAUGGUCUGUCUUCAGACUUUUCAAUUAUGUAGCUGAUGAGGAUGCUCACCCCAACCCUGCGUAUUCGUUACCCGCACUCAGGACAGGAGUCCUGGCCACCGCUUGGAUCUGGUUCUUGGGCUAAGGAGCUUCUGCUCUGAGCUGGCAGCAGACACCCAAUAAGGUCUCAGUGACAGGGCCCUGCUAAGGGAUAAGGAAGAUACGUGAGGACCCAGGGAAGAGCAGCCUGCUGGUAAGUCCCGGCAUCCUUCUCUGUGUAGUGCUCCAUUCCUCCCUCUCUCACUAAGUUGAGUUCCUGCCCCCAGGACCCUCUCUCUGCCCAGCGUGUCCUCUUCCACAGCUGUGCGCAUGGCUGGCUCUUUUCACCCCCUGAUCUUUCCCCCGUCCCUUCAUCUAAACCAGCUCCCAUUUGACAUCUUUCUUCCAGAGCACUGAUCACAAUUUGUAACUGAUUCUUAUUCAUGCUGUCUCUCUACCAGACUACAAGUUCCUCAAGGGCAAGGACCACGUCUGAUGAAUGUCCCACUGCAGCCCAUCCCACAGCACAGCUGUAUCGUGAUAAAAGCAGAACGAGAGAAUAAAUGAAGGAAUGCAAGGCAGACCCCAAGGAAAGCCAAUGGAGAGGUAAAACCAAGCAGCCCCUGGAGGCCUGAGGAGAGGGUGCUAUCUCCAUCUGGGGGAUCUAGGAUGACUUCCUGGAGGAGGUGGCAUUGGAACUUUGGGGAUUCUCUGGCUGUGAAUUCAGAGGGUUCUCCUGCCUCAUUUAGACAUUCAAAGACGACUUACUAAUUAACAACUGGAGAAAGAAUUCUGCAUGCAGACUGUUUGUACCUUAGCCGAGUGUCCCCAAACUUGGGAAACACAGUAGCACUUUAUGUAGGUUUCCAGUUGAGCCUGGAAUCAGCGUGAAUUGUUGGGAGGGGUUUGGGGAGUAGGGUAGACAGGCACAGGCUCUGCAGAGCCUGGCACCACACCCCUCUCUCUUCCCUUCAGAGCACAUCUUUCCAGAGACCAUCACAUUUGAUCUUGCCGAUUAUUUGGUCAACCUCUUUUCUCUGGGCAGCGCUGAUGGGGAACAACAUAUGCUUGGCCUUCUGCCUUCCUCUCCUAUACACACCCCUACACACACCCACAUCACACCCAUUUAUCUCCAUGACAACAAGGGGAGAGAGCGUGGCCUGAUGCUUCCAGGCCUCAAUACGCGGACUUAGAGCCUAGAGACUUAGCAGUUCUGGCCCUGCAGCCUCACAAAGAAGGACUAGAGUGAUUGCAGAGGCCAGGCAUGGAGAAGGGAGGGCUUUGGGGUUGCUUGUGCCCUCAGAGAGGAGGGGUCAUUGCCCUGGGAGCCCUACUGCUGGCCGUUUCCUGAUGAAGAGGUUGGUCAUUUUGCCCCCAAACACCCUCAUCCCUUGUCAGGGAUAAGCAGCGUUUGGGGGAAGGAGGGCCGGCUUUGUAUCCAAUCCCAGCUCUACCAUUUCCCUCUUCUUGUGAGUUCUCUGAACCUCUGGAUCUGCAUCUAUAAAAGGACAACUCCUUGAAAGGACUUCUGUGACUUCUAGAAAUUGGCAUUAAAAAAAAAAAUCUAUCAACGCCUCUGUUUUAGAAACUAACCAAAUGAGAUUGGUCAAAAUCAGAGAUAGGGUGUGAGGGGUGGAGAACGUGCAAACCGGCAAAAUAGGGAAACAACUAGUCAGUCUAAUUAAGAAAAAGAGUAGAGACAAAACAAUACCAAAAUUAGGAGUGGGAAAGGGAAUAUGGCCAUUGGUAUUACACAGAGGAUGUUAUAAAACUAAUAUGAGGAUAUAUGAACCAACUCUGUAAAAUAUGUUGAAGACAAGAUCAAAUGCAUAUUUUUCUAUGAAAACAUAUACUUAACUUUAAAAAUGGCAGUUUCAGACUUCCCUUGUGGCUCACAACAUAACUGCAUAGCGUUGCUUCUACAGUGGCUGUGGCUUAACUCUUGGCUCGGGUAUUUCAUAUGCCACAGGUGUGGCCACUUGUUUAAAAAAUAAAAUAAAAAAAUUUUAAAUGACAAGUUCAUCAGAGCAAAACCCUGGGAGAAAGUGGAAGAAAAAGUCAAUGAAUUACAUCUCCAACUAAUUUGCAUCCGUGUAGGAAAACAGGCUAAAAUAGUUUCACAGACUGCUUCUUUUUUUUUCUCUUCAAAAUUUCAAGGAGUUAAUCAUUACCAAGCUAUACAAAGUAUUCCAGAAUGUUUUUUUAAUAAAUCAAUACCUAAUUCAUUUUACAAGUUAGAAUAUUGCUAAUAAUCAUGUUUGACAACGAUAAUAUCCAAAAAAUAAAUCUACAAGAUAUCACCAGUGGAUUUACAUGUAAAGAUUCUAAAUAAAGUAUGCAUAUAUAUCAAAUUUCUGAAGUGUAUUAAAAGGAUAAUAUACUAUGAUUAAGUAGGGUAUAAUCUGGGUAUGGUAGGUUUAAAAAUCAAUCAACAUAAUUUAUCAAGUUAAAAAUAGUAAAGUAUUGAGUUCCCAUUGUGUCUCAGUGGGUUAAGAACCUGACAUAGUCUCUGAAGAUGUGGGUUCAAUUCCUGGCUUUGCUCAGUGGGUAAAGGAUCCGGCAUGCCGCAAGCUGCAGCAUAAGAUUGCAGAUGAGGCUUGGAUGUGAUGUUGCUGUGGCUGUGGUAUAGGCCAGCAGCUGCAGCUCCGAUUCAAUGCCUAGCCUAGGAACUUCCAUAUGCUGUAGGUGUGCCAUGAAAAGAAUAAUAAAAUAAAAAAUAAAACAAACCUUGAUUGCACUUUUACUAUCCUAUUAAAAUACAUCUAUAUAAAAAUCCUGAAAAUAAAAAUUUCUAAACUGGAUUUCAUCAAAACAAAACAAAAAACCAUAAAAUAGUAAAAUCUUUUAAAAAACACCAUCAAGAGGAGUUCCUGUCAUGGCUCAAUGGUAACAAACUUGACUAAUAUCUAUGAGGAUUCAGGUUUGAUCCCUGGCCUCUCUCGGUGGGUUAAGGAUACGGUGUUGCUGUGAGUUGAGGUAUAGGUUGCAGAUUUGGCUAGGAUCUGGUAUCGCUGAGGCUGUGGCAUAGGCCAACAGCUGCAGCUCUGAUUAUACCCCUAGCCUGGAAACAUCCAUAAGCCACAGGUGUGGCCCAAUAAGUAAAAAUAAAUAAAUAAAUAAAUAACAUCAUUGAGAAAAUAAAGAGAUGAAUCACGGACGGAGAAAAAAUAUUUGAAAGUCCUACAUCUGAUAAGGAUGUGUAUGCAGAAUAUAUAUAUAUGUAUAUAUAUAUAUAUAUGCUUAAAAACUACUACAACUCAAUAGGAAGGUAAACAAUGCAAUUACAAAAUAGUAAAAUAUUUGAACAGACCUCUUACCAAAGAAGAUACACGAAUGGCCAAUAGGCACAUGAAAACAAGCUCAUCCUUUCUUAUAAUAUUAAGGAAAUGAAGAUUAAAAUCAAAGUGUUAUAUCACUACAUAUCUACUAGAAUGGCUCUAAUUAAAAAGACUGGCAAUACCACAUGUUGAAAAGAAUGGAGAAACAAGAAGCUUCUUAGAUCAUUGUCAGAAUAUAAAAUGGUACCGCCGCUUUGGAAAACAGCUGGACCGCUUCCUAAUCAGACCACACAGACCAACAAUGCUACUCCUGGAUGUCUACCUAAGUGAAAUGAAAACAAAGAGCCACUCAAAGACUUGCAUAAGGCAGUUCAUAGCAACAUGACCUACAAUAGCUCAAAACUGGAGACCGCUAGAAUGUCCAUCAGCUAGUGACUGGAUGAACAAACUGGUGUGUUCGGACCGGAGGAACAUUCUUAAGGAUAAAAAAAGAAUGAA